AUUGAACGCUGGCGGCAGGCCUAACACAUGCAAGUCGAACGGUAACAGGAAGAAGCUUGCUUCUUUGCUGACGAGUGGCGGACGGGUGAGUAAUGUCUGGGAAACUGCCUGAUGGAGGGGGAUAACUACUGGAAACGGUAGCUAAUACCGCAUAACGUCGCAAGACCAAAGAGGGGGCCCUUCGGGCCUCUUGCCAUCGGAUGUGCCCAGAUGGGAUUAGCUAGUAGGUGGGGUAACGGCUCACCUAGGCGACGAUCCCUAGCUGGUCUGAGAGGAUGACCAGCCACACUGGAACUGAGACACGGGCCAGACUCCUACGGGAGGCAGCAGUGGGGAAUAUUGCACAAUGGGCGCAAGCCUGAUGCAGCCAUGCCGCGUGUAUGAAGAAGGCCUUCGGGUUGUAAAGUACUUUCAGCGGGGAGGAAGGGAGUAAAGUUAAUACCUUUGCUCAUUGACGUUACCCGCAGAAGAAGCACCGGCUAACUCCGU
rnacentral:rRNA from 1 species